UCCCUCCAGCCCAGGCUCUGGAUACUGCCCUAAUGGAAACCCAGGGAAACCCACAUUUCUUAUUUCAGGUGCACCAUCCUCCUCCCCACCCUGCCGUGCCUGGAUGUUUCGCUGUUACCUGGGCUUGACUUGGCGUGGCAGGAAAAUGCGUGUGUUGUAGGGUGAAAUCCGCAGUUUUGGUGGCUUGGAUUGGUGCGGGGAGAGCUCAGUGUAAAAUGGUGAUGUCUCUGUUCCAUUGCUAUCGAUUUUUAUUUCUUUUUCCCCUCCUUAAUGUAUUUUUAGCAGCGUGAACGUGGUGUGUGUUCAUCGUGUGCCACACGUUUGGAGUAGAUAAAAUACAGUAGAUACAUGGAAAACCCCAGCAGCGUUUCCAUACGCAGCACGUCUGAAGCCUCAGUACUUUGCCUGGUUUAGUUAUUAAUAUUAAUUGCGCGAUCUUUUGUAAUUCAUAUCAUAUGGAAACUAAUUGCUGAAUUGAAGGCUUACCAAACCUCACAGCGCUCCAAAAACUAUCUUUCUCGGUUAUCUGAAAAAUAAAUCUGAUGAACUUCUGUUAAGAGGAAAGGCCAACAUCGUUCUGAGAAUCCUCCGCAUAAAGUUUCUUUUUUCAAGGCAAGCACUCUUGUAAAAGAAGUAGUAAAUACGGCUUUAGUCAGUGACUACUUAAGUCUAGUCUUAAGUAUGCUUAAGAUCAGCAAAUUUCUAGAGGAAAUGAAGCCUUCAACAAAUCUUGUCUUCUUUCUAUCUGCAAAGAGAGGGAGGGAAGCAAAAAAAAUCAGCCCUGAGAUUGAUACCAAACAGAAAAUCAGUCGUUAUCCCAAAGAGUAACUUGGCCAAUGUAACCUAAAAACUUAUUAAAUUGUUAUUUUGCCUUUUUUUUUUUGGGGGGGGGGAGAAAGAUGUCCUUGAGCUGUGGUCUUUUAAAUCAAUAUAAAGUGGGCCUGUUUUCUCCUCUGGUACUAGUUUAGCACCGGUGUAACUUCAUUAACUUUAAUGGAGUGAAUUUGCAUUAAUGUGAAAAGUAAUCAAGAAACCCAUGAUUUUAGAAGGCCCCUAUAGUAGUGACGUGACAAGCCCUGAUUCCUUCUCUCAUCAGACCCAAUUACGCCACCCUUACUCAUGCUGAGUGGUACUUUACUGCGCAAGUACUCCCUGCGAUGCUUGUAUGACUACUUGUGUACAGCAGUACCAGUCCGGGUGAGGUAGAGUGCUGCUUAUUUUUUCAUAACUCUUUUUUAUUUUCCCCCUUCCCUUGAAAUAAGAAUAUAUUGGAUAACUAUUUUUCUUGGGUGGCGAAGGAAACUUCUGAGGACUAAAUAUAAUGCUGCUCUGUUAAGUGACUGUACCAAACCCCUCCCCGUUUAAGGCUUCUGUGCUACCAGUGAAACAGUGCAGUGGUCCUCUGGAAAGUUAGAAACAGUGCCCUGGGGCUCAGCGGAGUGGAGGGUGUAUAAUUAUACGGAAGGCUCAGUAGCAUCAGUGAAUUAGCAUUAGCAGCUGAGUGAGUUUGUUAAGCUGUAGAGAUGGUAUUAUGGAAAUCAAUAAAAUGCUGAUUUCUUAUUGCAGAUUCCAUGUUAAAAGGAAAAGAUGCUAUUUGUUUGUCUGCUUUUCAUGUAGGCUUGCCAAACCAUUAGUUGAUUUGGAAAGGCAGGUUUUUCAGUUCAGACAACAGCGCCUGGUGCCGAGCUCUCACUCCCUCCCCCCAAGUCUUCGUGCGCUCCAGCAUCUCCGCUUGGCCUCAUUUUUGUGCUUCGGUGGUGCCUGCACAGCCCAAAUUAGCACCGAGGAUCCCGCGGAGGGGGGCGCCGCCUCCCUCGGCUCCCAGGUGAGCUCCCGGGGCGGGGGGCGGCCGGCAGCGCCCCGGCUUUCCUGCAUCCCUGCCCGCUCCGCUUGGCCCGACCGGGAGAUGGCUGGGGAAGGGGGGGGUAUGACCGGUCCGACCCGGGGGCCGGCGCGGCGGGGUCCUGGCCGGGGAUCGCAGGGAUACUUGUCAUAUUUGCGGUCGGGGCGCGCUGGCAUCCGCCUUUGUGCCGGGGCCGGCGCUCCCCGGGAACCCCCGCGGCCGGGGCACGGGUGGGCAGCGCAGGGAGCCGGGAGGAGGAGGAGCAGCAACAGCGGGGGAUGCGGGGGGAGGAAGGCCGGGGCCGAGGCGGGGCUUUAACGCGGGCCGGAGGGCGAGGAGCUCGCCGGAGCCGCCCCUGUCGUCAGUGCUGGCGGCAAGUGCUGGGAGCCGGGGCUGGUGCCUCCUCCCUCUCCUCCUCCUCCUCCAUUGUAUAAUGCUGCGUGAUCGCAGCCGCCGGGGCAGAGCGGAGGCUUAAAUCCUCACGCCGCCUGCGCCUGCCUCCUCCUCCUUUUCCUCCUUCUUCUCCUCCUCCUCCUCCUCGUUCUCCUCCGCAUCCCACCCGGCCCCUCCCCGGAGCGGCGCGGCGAGGGAGCGACAUAUGGAGCUGCUCUAGGGCGAGAGUUUGCGACCUCCCCUCCCCUCCAUGCGUUAGUUCUCAGGUGGAGCUGCAUGUGCGUUGAAUGGGAGGAGGAUGCCUGUGCUCUCGGAGGGCAGGCCAGCUCCCAGCUGCCAGGGCAGGUUUGCUGUGCUUUGCCAGGAUCCUACAGGCCAAGGAGCAUCAUGCUGAGUGCUUCCCUGUGGCAAGCUCCCGAUCAUUAAGGACUUCGGAAAUAGUCCAGCAGAGACAAGGUAUAAUGUCCUAAGUACAACUGAUAAAUACAUUACUUCUCUCACAGUGCGUGUGUACCUCUGUCCUCUAGAGAGUGAAGGAUUCAUCACUGAGUGGGCUCAGAGACAUAGUCAGGCAUUGCACAAGCUUUGCUGUGUUUAGUCAAUGAUGGGUGACUCCAGAGAGCCACCCGCUCCAGGCUGAUUAUCUCUUCUGUUGAGCCCCAGCUGUAUUUUUUUCCCCAGCUCUGUCUGAAGAGGAUGCAGGCCAAUAACAGGCAGCUAAAUGACACACAAAUAUAUAUUAACUUUUGUUUUUCAAUUAAGAAAAGCCAACUCCCAGACAAUGCUAGGGGAUUGCUGGCUCUGAGGCGCGUGCAAUCGCCCUAAAUGGGCAAAAAAGCAAGUUGAAGCUUUCCCAGCAGCAGUGGUUCAGCUUUUGGGUCUGGGUCUGGCAGACCCGGAGCCAACUGGUGGGUAAUAUUGGGAAGAUCUCCAAGCAACUCCCCCCACCCCAAUCCCUGGAUAAAUGCAGUUUUUCCAUUGCCUUUCAUCAGCUUUCUGGUUCCACAGAACUCAGUAACAUUGAAAACUAGCUUGCAUACCAAAACCCUGCAACACCCUUUAUUAAAACAACAACAAAGUGACAUCCCAUCCCAACUCUUUAACGCUUGGCCCCAAACUGAUGCUUGCUGGGAGACAGAUGGAAAUACAGCACAAAUACAUCUGGCUGGGACUGCUGCUCAGCCAAAAUGGAUGCCCAGAAGACCCUCCAUGGACAUGACCAUCUGUCACUGCCUGUCCAGUCUCGUGUUUGGUGGAUUGUUGUUGGCCAACUGUCCCAUUAUGGCCAUAAGACUUGGUAGGCCGACUCUGUCUUCUGCCAUUUGGGAGAGUGUGGGUCUGUCUCUUUUUGUGCUGAUCUUUGGCCAGCCUGAUCUGUUAAGUUUGGUGUUUUCCUUUUCCCAGCAGGAACUUCAGCUGAAAAGGCUAGGAGCAAAGUUUGAGAUGUACAGACCUGAGCUAGAUCAAAUGCUGGCGUGGUACAGCCUGACUUUGUAACCUUAUUCAGUAGCUUAAAUCUUACGUGUUAACACCUAUCUCUUAAAUGUAUGCAUGAAACUGCUGAUUGAAGGAGAAAAGAUGUUUGAACUGUAAAGAACAAACAGGCAACGUUGUCUUAAGCUCUGGUGGUCAGAAGCUAUAAAACUCCUUUAUGGAUACCUGAAAGCAAGCCUGAAAGCCUGUCUGUUUUUACCAGCUCUAUCAGUUGGUCUAAAAGAUACCGCCUCCUUGCUACAAUGAAUAAAGUGAUUUAUGGAAACUGGAGGAAAACGUUUUAACAAUUCCCCUUUGCACGCUGGAGGAGAAGGGAAUAAACUGAAACUUCAUAAAGCUGA